rnacentral:rRNA from 1 species
AGUGAACGCUGGCGGUAGGCCUAACACAUGCAAGUCGAACGGCAGCACAGUAAGAGCUUGCUCUUACGGGUGGCGAGUGGCGGACGGGUGAGGAAUACAUCGGAAUCUACUUUUUCGUGGGGGAUAACGUAGGGAAACUUACGCUAAUACCGCAUACGACCUACGGGUGAAAGCAGGGGAUCUUCGGACCUUGCGCGAUUGAAUGAGCCGAUGUCGGAUUAGCUAGUUGGCGGGGUAAAGGCCCACCAAGGCGACGAUCCGUAGCUGGUCUGAGGGGAUGAUCAGCCACACUGGAACUGAGACACGGUCCAGACUCCUACGGGAGGCAGCAGUGGGGAGUAUUGGACAAUGGGCGCAAGCCUGAUCCAGCCAUACCGCGUGGGUGAAGAAGGCCUUCGGGUUGUAAAGCCCUUUUGUUGGGAAAGAAAAGCAGCAGGUUAAUACCCCGCUGUUCUGACGGUACCCAAAGAAUAAGCACCGGCUAACUUCGUG